GGAAGCUCUGCAGAGGAAAAGUACAGAUCCAUUAUAAGCUAUUUCUUUGUGCUGUCUGAAGUUUUAUUCCUCCUCUGUGGUCAGCUGCACACAGGUGUGUGUUCAUCACUGCAAAACUCUAGCAGGAAGCACUGCUUCUAAGUCACCAUUGUGACACUGCUUCCACUUAAUACAUGUACUAUACAAAACAGCUGCUGGGCCCAAGAGGUGAAAUUCUUGGUUCAAAAUGUCUCACCUAUUGCUGUUUCCCUCUUCAAGAGUCCCAGGGAUAUGUCCACUGGAAUGCUGGGAUUGGUGAAUAUUGUUGUGGUCUCUCCGUUUGCGGGCAUGUAACAGCUGACAUCUGCAAUGUAAACAACCAGACUGUCAUUUCACCCACCAGCAGUCUGCAAGCAUCCCUUGAGAUGGUGCUGUGAUUCUGGCAGAAGCCUGCUGCAGCUGUUCGGGACAGGACAGGAACUGAGUUUAAUAGCAAUUUGUUGAAACUUAAUACCAGGGAUUUGAAAGAGGCUGAAAAGUAGAACUGCUGCUCAGACUUAAGGGUAACAACCUUGCAAGAACCAUCAAAACCCCAAUGGGGCAAUACCGACUAGCCCAGCUAUCCGUAACUCCUUGUGAGGGGUAAAAAGAGACUGCAACAAAACUGCCUGCACUCUGAUGUUGGUAACAAGUUACUGCAAAGAAAUAUGCAGACAGUAAGUAACCAUCCCAUGUGAAUUCUGUGCUUUCUCCACUCAUCAUUUAAGAGCUAGCUGUUUCCAAGGAAUUAACUUUUUUUUUUUCCUGGAGCUCAUUCCUCUCUAUGUAGUUGCUAACUUACUUACAGUUUCAGAUGUACCCUGCCUGCAUCGGCCUCUUUUAGGAGUCUAAAGAAAUAUAAAUUCAGUAAGUGCUGAACUAUGACGAUACAAACAUAACAAAAUAACUUUUACUUCAAGUCCAAAUGGGCAUUAAAAUUACAUAGGCUUAACAUGUUAAGUAAGAUAUGUUACAGAUACUAGUUUCUUGAGGGUGACUGGUCCUGUAAAUUACAUUAUGCCUAACUCUGUCCUGAGGUCCAGUGGAUGAAGUAUGUGAACUUUAAUGCCUUCCUUCUACCACCACUCCCUCUUCAGUACCAAUACUAUACAUACGAAAUUCCUGUUCUAUUUUCUGCUUCAGAAACUCCAUUUUCUUUGCUUCACCAUGGACCAGGAGAACAUUUCGUGGCUCAGCCUGGCGAAUCAGCUGCAUUAUUCCCUUGGCAUCUGCAUGGGCGCUGAAGGACAUGUACUCCACCUGCAUCUUUACUUCCAACUGUGGAGGAGCAGAAAGCACAGGCUUUGUGAAUCAGGAAUUGUUUUGGCUCACUACAGCUUGUACACCGCACACAAACAGACCCAACUUCUCUGUGUUUAGUUUAAAAAAGGAAGCUGAACACCUGAAUUGGAAAAUGAGGUUAGAGAGAGAGCUGCUCAUCAGCACAGACUGAAUAUGAUGCUGUACAGGAACGCUUUCAGUAACUUACAGGAUCAAAUUGCCCCAUUUCAGAGCUCAAUACUGGCUGCACGUUUGCCAAAACAAAUCAAUACUUAAAGACCCCUGGUAUCAUUUUUUUAAUAUCCCCAUCUGCUUAAAAAUGUAUCAUUUUUACCUGAGUAGUGGGGACUAGUUAUUAAACAUUACAAAUAUGCCCCUGACAAAGUCUUACAACAGAAGACGACAUGCUAUUGCCAAUGCAAACUGGAAAAAAAACUCCAAAGAAAAUGUUAGUUGGGUAUUUUCAACGUUCUGUGCGGUAUAGUGCCAUUACAAGUACAUGGUGUCUAACUACUACCUAAAGUUCUGAAGAACUUCCCCCAAAUGAUCCUCCUUCUUGAAAAUAAGACUUACUAUUUGUCUUCCUUCCAUUUCCAGCUUGCGCUGUCCACUCAGAAUCUUAUGGCCUACAGUUCCCUGCACGCAGUAGCCAGGCAUAAUGACCUGAGAAGGAAACCAGAAAAAUCUACAAACUCUGCACAUGGACUGUGCAGAGCGUAGCUGCUGUUGUUAACAUAAAAAUAGCCACAAAUGCAUAAUGCUGAUGUAAGAUUGUGUUCUUCCGAUCUUACAUGUGACCGUCCUUCACUGGAAAGGUGUUUACUUUGUGCUGCAGCUUGCAAAUACCCAACUCCAGAAAACACAUGAAAAUUAAAUUAGAAAGCAAGCUGCUGAAAUCUACACACCACUAAAUAAGAAUUAAUGCAGGUUACAAAUGUCUUUCUUUGAAAAUGCUUCAAUUAAUGAAAGCACUUCUGAAAGUCUCCCACAACCUCUUAAGACAUGUACCUCCUCUGCUCGCCCUGUCACACACCAAAAAAAAAACACCUCAGAGCAUGCAAGAGCUCUGCCCAGGGUUGGUUCACUAGAGGACUUGUGUAAUUUAACCCUAGAUGUUCAGGAAGAGCUUUCCUGUAACCUUUGUUCUUAUGACUGUAUCAGUAUCACUAUCACAUUAACACAACACAUCACGUGAGGAAACAGAAUUUCUUACCAUAUUCUUUUCAUUUCCUGCCCAUUUCCUGAAGAUUUGAAGGGACUGUCCUGCAUGAAGCAUACCAGGGGUUGCAAACACAACCUAGAAUUGAAAGGUGUGCCAAGAAUCACCACAGAAAACACAUUUCUUUCCAUUACUUAUAAUAUAUAAAUACCCUAAAACUGGGCAGAGUAUCCACUAAUACACAAUUACAGCAUACGUACUACAUCAAAGCUCUAAUGGGGAUUUUUGCUAUUUUAUUUUUCCCAGCUUGUCUAAUUUUCACAUAAGUUCAACUACUGAUAGAGGAGAUUUCUGUGAGCAUCCGUAGUGUCUGAUAAAAACUUUGAAUGGUUUUACAAUGGUACAAUCAUACUCAACAGAUUCCUCUUUCAGCUGCUGCCCAAUAAACCACUCAGAAAUAAAAUCAGCAAGAAGAGGUUGUGUUGUAAAGCACCUGCCUCCUGAACAAGUCAGAAGAAUAUACUGUAAAAAUUAUGGUUUGAAUCAGGUCCAGAGUUAUAGAUUAUACGAACAUACAAUCAAUUUUUUUAUUUUCUCUGGGCAUUUUACCUUUACUGAAAUAAAGAUAGAAGCAUUCACAUGGCCUGGCUGCAAAAGGGUUUUAGAUGGGAUGCUGAUAUUAAUGGGGUAGAAGAUGCUGAGCUUUUGCAGACUGCCCGUUUGCCUUCACCAUGAACACAGUGGUAUAAAAAUAGCUCCUUGACACUA